AGCGAACGCUGGCGGCGUGCCUAACACAUGCAAGUCGAACGUGAAAGGGAGCAAUCCCAAGUAAAGUGGCGUACGGGUGAGUAACACGUAGGUAAUCUACCCCAGAAUCUGGAAUAACCGGCCGAAAGGCUGGCUAAUACUGGAUAGAGCGACGGAAUCCGUAAUUGGGUUUUUCGGGAAAGGGAGCCUGUAAAAAGGCCUUCGUUCUGGGAUGAGCCUGCGUCCCAUCAGCUAGUUGGUGAGGUAAAAGCUUACCAAGGCAAUGACGGGUAGCUGGUCUGAGAGGACGAUCAGCCACACUGGAACUGAAACACGGUCCAGACUCCUACGGGAGGCAGCAGUGGGGAAUCUUGCGCAAUGGACGAAAGUCUGACGCAGCAACGCCGCGUGAGUGAAGAAGGCCUUCGGGUUGUCAAGCUCUGUCGAGUGGGACGAAAAUGCUUGGAGUUCACAGCUCCAGGAACUGACGGUACCACUAAAGGAAGCACCGGCUAACUCCGUG
rnacentral:rRNA from 1 species